rnacentral:rRNA from 1 species
CGAGCGGCAGCGGGAAAGUAGCUUGCUACUUUUGCCGGCGAGCGGCGGACGGGUGAGUAAUGCCUGGGGAUCUGCCCAGUCGAGGGGGAUAACUACUGGAAACGGUAGCUAAUACCGCAUACGCCCUACGGGGGAAAGCAGGGGACCUUCGGGCCUUGCGCGAUUGGAUGAACCCAGGUGGGAUUAGCUAGUUGGUGAGGUAAUGGCUCACCAAGGCGACGAUCCCUAGCUGGUCUGAGAGGAUGAUCAGCCACACUGGAACUGAGACACGGUCCAGACUCCUACGGGAGGCAGCAGUGGGGAAUAUUGCACAAUGGGGGAAACCCUGAUGCAGCCAUGCCGCGUGUGUGAAGAAGGCCUUCGGGUUGUAAAGCACUUUCAGCGAGGAGGAAAGGU